rnacentral:rRNA from 1 species
AAGUCGUAACAAGGUAUCCGUACCGGAAGGUGCGGAUGGAUCACCUCCUUUCUAUGGAGACUUCACACUUCGUUUG